rnacentral:tRNA from 1 species
UAGCUCAGUUGGUAGAGCCCCGGAUUGUGAUUCCGGUUGUCGUGGGUUCGAGCCCC